rfam:Homo sapiens chromosome 10, GRCh38 reference primary assembly.
GCCGGGUGUGGUGGUGCAUGCCUGUGGUCCCAGCUUCUUGGGAGGCUGAGGCAGGAGAAUUGCUUGAACCCAGGAGAUAGAGGUGGCAGUGAGCGGAGAUCGUGCCACUGCACUCCAGCCUGGGCGACAGAGUGAGACCCUGUCUCAA